UCAAAGUAAGACUUUAGAAAAAGGAAUGUCUGGGCCUCUCAUAGUGUUUCAUGAUAGAGCAAACUGUGCCUCUGAACCAUUGCCUGGCCUCUGUAUAUAGGCUGCUGGAACUGAAGUGGGUCACACAGUA
rnacentral:snoRNA from 1 species